rnacentral:lncRNA from 1 species
UGCAUGAAGGCAAAUCUUUAGAUCAAAUAUCCCCAGAACUUCCACCAGGGGUACUGUCUGUGCUGGCUGGUUUCAGGAUACGCAUGCACUCUGAAGAUGAGGCCAGAAUGGUAAGAAAUCAGAUACACAAAUACUGAUCUAACUUC